rnacentral:rRNA from 1 species
AGAGUUUGAUCCUGGCUCAGGAUGAACGCUGGCGGCGUGCCUAAUACAUGCAAGUCGAGCGAACGGACGAGAAGCUUGCUUCUCUGAUGUUAGCGGCGGACGGGUGAGUAACACGUGGAUAACCUACCUAUAAGACUGGGAUAACUUCGGGAAACCGGAGCUAAUACCGGAUAAUAUUUUGAACCGCAUGGUUCAAAAGUAAAAGACGGUCUUGCUGUCACUUAUAGAUGGAUCCGCGCUGCAUUAGCUAGUUGGUAAGGUAACGGCUUACCAAGGCAACGAUGCAUAGCCGACCUGAGAGGGUGAUCGGCCACACUGGAACUGAGACACGGUCCAGACUCCUACGGGAGGCAGCAGUAGGGAAUCUUCCGCAAUGGGCGAAAGCCUGACGGAGCAACGCCGCGUGAGUGAUGAAGGUCUUCGGAUCGUAAAACUCUGUUAUUAGGGAAGAACAUAUGUGUAAGUAACUGUGCACAUCUUGACGGUACCUAAUCAGAAAGCCACGGCUAACUACGUGCCAGCAGCCGCGGUAAUACGUAGGUGGCAAGCGUUAUCCGGAAUUAUUGGGCGUAAAGCGCGCGUAGGCGGUUUUUUAAGUCUGAUGUGAAAGCCCACGGCUCAACCGUGGAGGGUCAUUGGAAACUGGAAAACUUGAGUGCAGAAGAGGAAAGUGGAAUUCCAUGUGUAGCGGUGAAAUGCGCAGAGAUAUGGAGGAACACCAGUGGCGAAGGCGACUUUCUGGUCUGUAACUGACGCUGAUGUGCGAAAGCGUGGGGAUCAAACAGGAUUAGAUACCCUGGUAGUCCACGCCGUAAACGAUGAGUGCUAAGUGUUAGGGGGUUUCCGCCCCUUAGUGCUGCAGCUAACGCAUUAAGCACUCCGCCUGGGGAGUACGACCGCAAGGUUGAAACUCAAAGGAAUUGACGGGGACCCGCACAAGCGGUGGAGCAUGUGGUUUAAUUCGAAGCAACGCGAAGAACCUUACCAAAUCUUGACAUCCUUUGACAACUCUAGAGAUAGAGCCUUCCUCUUCGGGGGACAAAGUGACAGGUGGUGCAUGGUUGUCGUCAGCUCGUGUCGUGAGAUGUUGGGUUAAGUCCCGCAACGAGCGCAGCCCUUAAGCUUAGUUGCCAUCAUUAAGUUGGGCACUCUAAGUUGACUGCCGGUGACAAACCGGAGGAAGGUGGGGAUGACGUCAAAUCAUCAUGCCCCUUAUGAUUUGGGCUACACACGUGCUACAAUGGACAAUACAAAGGGCAGCGAAACCGCGAGGUCAAGCAAAUCCCAUAAAGUUGUUCUCAGUUCGGAUUGUAGUCUGCAACUCGACUACAUGAAGCUGGAAUCGCUAGUAAUCGUAGAUCAGCAUGCUACGGUGAAUACGUUCCCGGGUCUUGUACACACCGCCCGUCACACCACGAGAGUUUGUAACACCCGAAGCCGGUGGAGUAACCUUUUAGGAGCUAGCCGUCGAAGGUGGGACAAAUGAUUGGGGUGAAGUCGUAACAAGGUAGCCGUAUCGGAAGGUGCGGCUGGAUCACCU